rnacentral:rRNA from 1 species
UACAGAGGGGCAAGCGUUGUUCGGAAUUACUGGGCGUAAAGGCGCGUAGGCGGCCUGCUAAGUCGAACGUGAAAUCCCCGGGCUCAACCCGGGAACUGCGUCCGAUACUGGUAGGCUUGAAUUCGGGAGAGGGAUGCGGAAUUCCAGGUGUAGCAGUGAAAUGCGUAGAUAUCAGGAGGAACACCGAUGGCGAAGGCAGGUCUCUGGGCUGAAACUGACGCUCAUGCACGAAAGCGUGGGGAGCAAACAGG